CCCACAUCGAUGACACGGUGACGUUCAACGGUAGACUAACCCCCGAGAAGACUAAUUGGAUGAAGAUUUCCGAUUGCGGCCUGGUACUGGAGGAACAACCCGGCAAGCUGGCCGAAGCGUUCCGACUUUUCCUCCAGGGAGAAGGCUACGCUGUCGGAGCUUUGCAAAAGAUAGGCAAACUGUCUCGCGCGGGCACAGUAGAAAGUUUGUCCCCCUAGAAAGCCGCCGAUUCCCGAUCCCGUUCUCGGUCUUCCUCAAGAGGGAUCUUGCUUGUAGGAGAGUUUACUGCAUUUCCUGGCAUCCAUAAUUGCAGGCCUUUCCUGUCACAUGUAGGAUGCGGUUUCCCGCACUCGCGACAUCCUCUAAUAUUGUAUUGCAAAAAUCGUAUUAACCAACUGCGCUGCAGAGAAGUAUUUAACACAAAAAAUCUAAACACGUUUUAGAUUAAUAUAAGCGGGUUUCGAGUUGGUUAAAUGAUUCUGCAAUAUUUAUGCAACACGCAUAGAUUCAUGCUUUACGACCUAUUUUUCCAAAAUCAAUCAAACGAAAAGCCGCGCAUCGAACGUCGAGCAGUGAGUGAAACUUGUGGUAACGAUACAUUUAGGUGUCCACAACAAAGUCUACCUGCACAAAAUCGGUCUGCAUGAACCAAAGAUUGGCUUAAUUUUUCCGAAAGUAAGAUGAUCUUAUAAAAAUCCCUAAGUUUUUAAAAUAAUAUCGAUUUGAAUUAAAUGAAAUGAUUGAACGGUUAGUGAAGAACGUUCCCUAGUUCGGACAACUUUUAUACGAUCAGCGGGGUAGAUUGUGGAACUGUAUCGAUUCUGCUACUGCGGGUGCCAUUGUCUGACCGAACAAUUAGGAUAGCUUAGUUAAUGAUUUGAAAUGCCAUUUUCAAAGUGUGGAAAUAAUUGCGAAACAAUUAUUAUCGAGUUCGGAAAACGAGUUUACACGCACUCACUCACUCGGUUGCAGUGAGAAGCAGUGAAGUAGUACUAGGCUACGCCUCAUCACGCUGGUCUUCCACCGAGCAGGUUGUGCCACUGAAAUGCACAAAACACAAGCAGGACGGGUAUUGCGGGUAAAUCAAUUUCAUUUACACUAAAUAAAAAAUUCCUGAAGAAAAUGUAGCAAUUCAUAGGCCAUUUCAUUCGAGUAAAAAUAAUGUUUUAACACACUACGUAGAAAAUCAAUGCUAUUGCUUAUCUUUUUGGUAAAUUGCUAGUGCAGGGCAAUGCUUCUGCACGUCGAACAAACAUCGUUUUUGCUUAAUGUAAAAAUAACAGCCCGUAGAGUUAGUGAAAUUCCACUCCCUGCGUUAUCUGAGCAGAUCCAUAAGUUCGACUGCGAAGCGAGCUAAACCGUUCGUGGAAUGUGUAUUUUCUUUUCACAGUCUCGAAGAAAAUUGCAUCCCCCACUAAAGCAAAGGCACCGGCCGGUGUCUAAACUCUGUAUCCUGAGCUUUACGCUUUAUGAGCCGUCGAUCGCUAUACUGCGCUUUUCGUCUUUGGUUAUUUGCGUUCGAAUAAUUUCCUUGCUUGUUGCUACGGGGCACCGCGAUGCGGUGCGCAACGCUCCGAUUUUCUACGUUUAUCUUUUAUCGAAUCAUCUACCUUUUUCUUGUAUCGAGAAUUAUUUUAUUAUGUUAUUGUAAGUUUCUUUGCGUGGCCGCCUUCAGUUCGCAUGAUUUUUAAAACAUUGACGGCACCAAUGCGCUUUGUGUUUUUCGUAGUUUUAUUUUGUAUUUUAUGUUAUGUCAAAAAUUGUAUAUUGUAAUUUGAUAUGGAAUAAAUUGUUAAA